CACGUAGGGGGCGAGCGUUGUCCGGAUUUAUUGGGCGUAAAGGGCGCGUAGGCGGCCUUCUAAGUCGAACGUGAAAUCCCCGGGCUCAACCCGGGAACUGCGUCCGAUACUGGAAGGCUUGAAUCCGGGAGAGGGAUGUGGAAUUCCAGGUGUAGCGGUGAAAUGCGUAGAUAUCUGGAGGAACACCGGUGGCGAAGGCGACAUCCUGGACCGGUAUUGACGCUGAGGCGCGAAAGCCAGGGGAGCAAACGGG
rnacentral:rRNA from 1 species